UGGCGCAGCCCUGGCAUUUCCUGAGUCAUCUUCAAGUGGUCGAGGCUGUAUCUUGCUCGCUAGCUCGAAGUUUUUUCUCUUUUGGAAUCGCCGGUAUAUUCUUCCGUCGUUCGAGAAGAAACACGAGCCAGAUGCAGUCUCACCAUUUGAGAUGGCAAUGGGACGGGCGGAGGGAGUUGCUGUUUGCAGCGAUGCUGGGUGUACCGCAGGGGAACAGGGAUUCCAUGUUCUAGUCUCUACGCCAUUCAUCGGUUUGGUUUGUAAACUGUAUCGGAACAAAUGUAUUCUCUUUGCAAUUUUUUUUCGUAAUGUUUACCAAUGAAGGAAGUACAAAGCUUGUAAAGAAUGUGUUCGAAGAGCAUUUGAUCUAGGAUAUUUUUACUUUUUUCAGAAACAUUGCAGUUUCAUUGAUAUAUACGUAAAAUGUGUAUUUGUAUAAAAGCGUAUGAUUCUAAACGAAUUUCUAUAGUUAAUUAGAUAAUUCGUAGAUUUAACGACCAGUAAUGUUUGUGCUUAAGUUAUUUCAAAGAAUGGAAAGAGACUUUUUUUGUGCGUAGACUCUGUGUAUUAUGGAGAAAGCGUUAAUCUAACAAUUCUUUUGUAAAUAUUGUGAUACAGCAGAAGAGGAGCAGAAUUGAAAGAAUAAAUGUUAAAAAGAAAAGUUGACAAUUUAUUCUGUAUAAUCUCUCGAUUCACCAUUAUUAAUACCAAAAAUCCGUUUCAGUAUGGCAUACACCUUACAAAAUUCUAUCGCACGCAAGAGACCCGCACACAUGUCGUCCAGGCUGUUGCUCGUCAUCGGCGACGUCAUUGGCCUGUCUAUAAAACCAUAAGAGUCAAAUGAGAGGAGUGGUGAGAGAGGAUUAUUAGUAUGGGAUGAGGAAAGGGGCAAAGUGUUUGUUUCUAGAAAUUCGCGCAUGAAGCGUUGCGGCUGAGUUGCACGGCGAUCAAGUCACACAUAAACACCUUCCGUUCGCACUUCUGUAUCUCGACCACGCAUCGACUAGUCCCAAAAUCAUCUGGGGCGUGAUAGACAGACUCACUUCGAGCAAAACGGCAGGAAACUUGAGCCCUGUUUGGUGAGCUACUCCCUUUUGUCCGUUACCUGUGCAAACGUGUUUUCUCAGGUCCAGAAACGUUUUCCCCGAUGCUUGCACCAUCAAGUUGUACAUGUCUCACUCCGCUUAUUGACGUACAACGCCAAGUCAACUUAAGCUGGCCGCCCAAAGAACUGCAUAUUGUCCCAUUUCAAUUAGGAUAAUAGCCCCGAGGUAUGGAGAGAGUAAUUCAUUGCAUGUCUGUCCGAAUUGAGACGACCGAGAAAGGCCAGAUAUAACGUAUCGCAAGUAGUACAUCUAAUUUUUAAUACGAGCAUGCGAAUAUAAAAAGGCUCAAAACCAAGUAGGAGAACGCUACAAUUUUUAUAACUGCUACGCUGGUUGUAUUUUUUUGGGCCGCUGUGGCAUUGGAUAACUAUUUCCACAGAUUUGAGGUUCCUGAAUUACUCCUCGGGUGCUAGAACAAGAAGAUUUGUGUAAUAUAUGUUCUAGAUCAAUGUGUAAGAUAACGCUUCUUGACGAGAGGUAUGGAGAAGAGUUAUACGAGCAAGAAUAGAGGUAUUGGUUCACGUUACAGUUAAAUUAAUGCAAGAAACGAUGAACAUAUUCGGAAUGUUUUUGGUUAAGUUUGGGGAUCUGGGGGGGGCCAAUUUGAGAAAAUUUUGUUUACCGCAGAAAAUCAUUGUACAAAAUGGCUGUUUGGAGAGUUGCCUUUCACGUUUGAUAAUAGGAAUGCCGGUGGCAUGUGGCAGAUAUUGGCAGAUACUUGAAACUUUUCACGAUCAGUUCUAACACGUAAACGAUGUAUUUGAUAUUUUCACGGAACGGAACGAUGCAGUAUUAUUUUGAAACGCAAGGAAGAAGUAUACGUGUCAAGAAUGAGUCAGACAUCUUGGAAUUCACGCAAAAGUUUAUAAUUGUACAAUUAUCAUUCAGUAAGCUAAUGGUUUGAAUACGGAUGGCUUAAACGAGUUUUGCUCUUACGUGUUUGGAGUGUGGUAUCAAAUAUUUACGAUUUUAUGCAUAUCGUUUUAAAUGUUUUCUUGGGGGAGAUUCUGUCCGGAUGCCUUUGUUUUGUACUGCAGGAGUACCUGAAAGAAACUCUUAUCAGUAUCUUCGAUGUGCAACUGUAAGCAAACAACUACAGGCUGUCAUUUCCAUUGCUGGAACGUGUCGCGUUCGUGUUACAAAGGUACCACCAUAGUGUAUGUUUAAGUAGAAAGAUUUUGGGAGGUGGGGGCAGAAGGGGGCGGCGGUAAACAUUAUGUUUCAGCUAGACUGGCUAAAGAACGCGUGUUAUCAACUUUAUGCGCACUUCAUAAUCUUUAAAUAUGCACUUUAUUAUUGUAACUGGGCCCUGACACAAUCAUGCUGAACAUAUUUUACGGUGAGGCACAUGUGACAUUACGAAAAUUGCAUUUUUAAAGAGAUACAGGCAUCGUGGAAGAAGGUAACAGUUUCAUGAUGAACAAUUCACGUUGUAAAUAUUAGACGUAUAUGGGGAAAUGCAAGGGAUGGGAUGCGCAAUCUUGUUAUUGUGAGCUGCAGGACUGAUGCCGUACGUAUCUCUCUUAUCGCAAUGGACAAAAUCAAUUCGGACGGGAUUACUUGAUAGUGGAAGAAGCCAUUCAUUUUUUGUAUUUAUGGUGCCAAUGUAAGUCCUUCGAUUUUCAAUACAUUCGGUUCUUUAGAAAUAUUCGAGGCGAUACGGAGACGCUCGUUUAACGACGAAAGAAGAGGUUGAGAGAAGAGCAUGUUAUAUAUUGAUUUAUUUUGAAUUAAAUUGCUGUAAUAGUGCUAUCUUCGAUAAGGUAUUUUAGAUGAACCAGGUGAUGCACUCUAACAUAUAUUUUCUUAGUGUAUAUUGAUAGUUUGGAUUCAUUUGUUCUAUUACGACGAUUUCUGGCAAAUUUUCAUACGACUAAUUAUAUUUGUGAGAAAUGUUUGAUGGGAUGGGUGGGGGGCUUAUAAAACAAUGUUACCUUUUUUCCCACAGAGUGUUUAGCAGAUGGCCGUUUGUUUGAAGUUGUUUGGUUGCAAACUCAACUGAAGCAUGGUAGCAGAGCACGCUAGCGUUAAAGCCUUGAAUAUAUAUAUACAUGCAUAUAGUAUUCAAUCACCAAGUUAGGAUCGUUUCAAUCUUUGAACGACAGAUGUUCUUCGGGUAUACCUGUCGGGUAUACCUACUAGGUCGUUACUUCGGAAUAUGCAAGAAAAUAUCGCACCAGAAGUAUAUGAGUUAUAUAUUCAGCCGUUGCUCCACGGGAAGACAGUGCUGUGAAAUACAUCUAUACAUGUAUGUAUUGCUUAGAUGAACAGUAUUUUUAUCACGAUGUUAGGAAAGGGACGUAUACGAUUAGCAGAAUUUUCAAAGCCUUUGAAAAUAUUGAAAACAAUGUUUACGAAAAGUACAUUUGUGUGGAUGAGUUUUAUUAUGCUUGAAGUAUGAAUAUGCAACAGAUCACUACGAAAUGUUAGUUUUUGCUUUAAAUGGAAAGUAACGCAUUGACGAAAGCAAGAAAAUCAACAACGCUGCGCUCCUAUCAGGUAACAGUUUCAAAUCAUAAUCUUCGCUCAAAUUUAUUGUUUAGUCGGAAAAAGAUGUAAUUUUUACGAUCCUACUAUGAUUUUAAAUUGAUCAAAUUUUAAGAAAGAGGUAUAACUUUUACAGAUUCACUAUUCAUUUAGAAUCUUUCAUCUUAUCGAUACGAAUAUGUUCUAAAAGAAAAUUUGUGAUUCGUGUUAAUGUGACAAAGUUCAUGUUCUGUUCAAAAACGUAUGUGGAUAUUUAAUCGACUCGAAAGGAAUUUAUAUAAGUUAUAUUACGCAAGGACCCUGGAACAAAUGACUACUUAAAUUUUUUGUCAACUGUAGCAGUAUUUCUCUGAGACUGUAGUUGUGCGAGCAAGUUCUGGUUAUAAUUUCGUUUUCAAGUUCAGUUAUAUAGUGUAAUAAGUGCACAAGAAAUCCUACGAUAGUAUUGCAGUGUAUCUUCGCUAUCUGCUAAUGCGCUUUUAUAUUGAGUUCAUGUGAUUAUGUGAAAUUCGAGAACACAUUUAUGGAGAAUGCAGCAGCUCAAGCUUUAUGGUGACUAAAGCAUAAAAUGAUCUAAUGAUGCUUGGCAUAAAAAUCUACGAGUAUUGGAUAUAAUAUUUGAGUAUGUUAGGAAAUGGCUUUUAAUUGUAGUAAGACUUUUGGUGAGUGAAUAAUCGUUCAAUGUAUAUUUUUUCUAAAACAAUGGACAAUCGUUUAGAGUUUGUGAUUAGAAUAAUUUGUGCCAUUAGUUCGAAAUUUACGGUAAUGCUCUGAGUGCUGUGUAUUAUGCUUGAUGGCUUUUGUUUAUCCAAAUACUUCGAAUGUUCUGUAAGUUCUGUUUGUGCAGUUCAUUUUGUACAACUAUAGAAUUGUGUAUAAUUUCAAAUAAAUGGAAUAGUGGGGAUGGGUCGGGGGGUAGGGGUAUACUAAUCCUAUGCAAAUUAGCUACAUUCCAGCAAACAGUAUUCAGCAUCGUAAAAACAGAAUUUCAAAGAAAAAGAUAAGGAAAUGAGUCUGACUGGACAGGAGGCAAUUUGCAAAGUUAAUUUUUCUUGCGUUUCGUAUGACUCUUAUCAAAUGACAUUUAAUAUUGCAAGCAACGGUUAAGGUGAAUUGAAUAAUUCAAGGAAGCUGUACACAAAUUCAAAGAUUCAUUUAAGGAACGUAACAGUUCGAGGGAUUGAUUGUCCUGUUUCCAAGUAUUUUAAGGUCUACCGAAUUGUAUUGCAAGGUUUUUCGUGUUUCCCUUCCGAAAAAGCUAACCAAGUGUUUUAGAGAACCGGUUUUGAGUAUGAGUGCGUGCAGAUAAGGAAGGCGAGUACACGUCUAGAAGUUACGGAAUGAUGCUCGAUUAUUUGAAGUACAAAAUACACGUCAGAGGUCUUCCAAUCUCCAACUAUCUGCGUAUGGGGUUUGGUCUGUUGGCUUGUCUCUGCGAUUCUAUCUAUUGUUGGAUAACUCGAGCACAGUUUGGAAUGGAUUUCCCAAAUGCACGGCUUUUUCCUGUCUUUUGGUGGCGAGGAAUAGGCGACAUAUUAUCCUGUUUAAAACAAAGGAACGACUUCGAGGCUGAUUUCGCCCUACGUAAUUUUGGAGUCGAGUUGGAGUUCGAGCAGCUGGAUCGUUUGUUGCGUUAUUCGAUGGGAUCAUGAGUAAUCGUUGCGUGUCGAAUUCGAGUGAUGAACGGCCAUGGGUUUUCUCUCUUGGGGUUUUCAACAGGCUACGAUACUUCACGGUAUGACGCGGCAAGGCCAUCGUUGCAGAGUUCCAGCAGAAACGCCUUCUUUCCUUUUAUUUACAAAAUUUAAUUGCUAGAUAUUACGAUUCCAGUAUGUUAUUUAAUUCGUUGACUAUUAACUAGCAAUGAAUUCUUAGAAAUUAUGGUCAUUUGUUUCGGAUCGUAAAACAGAAUGCUAAUAAUUUAUGCGAUACGCAUAAAUACUUCAUGAAAGGUGUCGAAUUUUUAGCAUUGAAGAAAAAAAGUAAGAAGUUUUCGUGUUUCAAAAGCGAUUUUACGGAACAUUUUUGUCUUACAAAGAGAAGACAUUUUUUAAUGGAAUAUUACGAAGUAUGGAAAAUAUAGUGCACAACUGAAUUUAUAACAAAACUUCGUCCAAGUAUUGAGAAAAAUACGGAAAACUUCCUAGUAGAGGAGCGAAAUCUAUAUUAAUAUAGACUUACAUGGUUUACAAAAGAUAAUACGCUACGCGUAAAGGUAUGGGUAAUUCAGAAUGUUGUUUGUGGAACGUCAAAGAAGAGUUAUAAAAAAAAAAAAAAGGAAUUACCUGGUAAUAUUAUGGGAAAAGUUUAAUACAAGUACCAGAACGAUAACGAAACAUCAAAGAAGAAUCAAACAUAAAAAAUGAUAUCGUCGCGGGACUUCGUGGGAUUCAGAAGAAGAGGGUAUCAACGCGGGACUUCGUGGGAUGUUGAAGAGUGUAUCGACGCGGGACUUGAUGGGAUGCUGAAGAAGAGGACACCAUUGCGGGUCGACGUGGGAUGCUGAAGAAACCAAAGGUAUCGCUACGGGGACUUGGAUGCGGAAGAAGAGGAUUUCAACGUGGAGGGACUUCGUGGAAUCCAGAAGAAGCUGAAAUGUCAGUACCGGAACUUUCGCGGAUGCAGAUGAAGAGGAUAUCAACGUGGGACUUCGUGGGAUCCACAAGGGAGAAUAUGAAAAUUAGAACCACUGAUGCAGAAGAAGAUGUUACGUCGACGUGGGACUUCGCGGGAUUCAUAGAAGAGGAUACCGGCGUGGGACUUCGCGGGAUUCAUAGAAGAGGAUACCGGCGUGGGACUUCGCGGGAUACAGAGAAGAGGAUAUCAACGUGGGGCUUCGCUAGUCUGAGAUGAAGAAUAUUAACAGCAGGACUUCACGAGGCAGACAUGAUAAGAAUACUCCGAGGUUAUCUAAUAUUGAUACUAAGUAAAAAAAGGUCUAUCAUUGGGGUUUUUACGAAAAAUAAUGAACAUACAAUUUCUUAUUUAGAAUAAUUUAGUCGACAUUUUUGUACGACAGAAUCUUAUCUCUAAAAGUUAGAAUUUUAUAAAUGCAAAGUGUUAUAGUAUAAAACAAAAUCACUGUAUUCAAACAGUAUGACAUAUUAUAGUUUAUUAGAAAAUAUUUAAAAGAAUUUAGCGAAUUGAGGUCAUUGAAAUCAUUGUUAAAUUAAUAUUUUUUUACUUACUAAGAUUUGAUAAAAUUUAUUUAUUUCACUAUUGAGUUUUUAAUAUUAAAAAAAAAAAAUGAAAAAAUAUAUAAAUUAAAAGAGAAAGAAAAAAAGAAAAUACAAAAGAAAAAAGAUACUUAUUAAAAAAAGAUAAUUUUACGAAACAAAUAAGCAAAUUUAAAAAAAAAGAUAACUUUAAAAAAGAAAAAAAAACAGAAAUAAAAAAAGGAAAA